rnacentral:rRNA from 1 species
AGCAGUAGCCGCGGUAAUACGAAGGGGGCUAGCGUUGCUCGGAAUGACUGGGCGUAAAGGGCGCGUAGGCGGUUUUGACAGUCAGAUGUGAAAUUCCUGGGCUUAACCUGGGGGCUGCAUUUGAGACGUCAAGACUAGAGUGUGAGAGAGGGUUGUGGAAUUCCCAGUGUAGAGGUGAAAUUCGUAGAUAUUGGAUGGAACACCGGUGGCGAAAGCGGCUCUCUGGCCCGGAUCUGACGCUGAGGCGCGAAAGCGUGGGGAGCAAACAGGAUUAGAUACCCCAGUAGUCCCUGUCUCUUAUAC